CAUUUGCCAGAACCCACAGUUUGCCAGUCCGGGCCUGUAUGUGUGUGUGUAGGGACCCAUAGGUUUAAUGGCCCCUUUGGCUUAAUUCCCCUACCAGUUCCUAAUUUCCUUGUUGCUGGGUUAAAACCCAUGUAACCAUUUGUACUUAUUUACAUUCCAAGUUUAUUAGCCCUCAGGUUGAUGACCAUUUCUUGCAUCACUGUAACAAAGUGCUUUACAGGGGAAGGUCCUUCCUCUUUGGCCUGCAGCAAUUGAUCUGGGUGGAUGUCCAUUGAGCAUGGAGUCAACAAGGCCCCAAAACUGUUAAGCUCUAAAGGAAUAACCCCUAUAGAGAAGAAGGGAGAACGAGGUGAGGCUAGUGUGAAGGAUAUCCACUGUUAUAGAUAUCUCUGCUUGCCUGUAGUGAAGGAACCGCUGUAUUGACAAGGGUAACAGGUUAUUGUUCUAUCCCUAUUCCACGUCUAUUCCUUCAGUGGUGCCAUCUGUGCUGUGUCUGCUUCACCUGUGAUUGUACCUGCAUUUAUUGAUCUACCUCAAGUGCUCUUUCAAAUGAUUUCUCCUUUCACUGAGAUGUGGCUUCAUGUGGCAAUAAUACAUGGAAAUGAAAUUGCUUUGAAGUGCAGUUAUACAUAACAUUCAUAUAGUCUCUUUAAAACUCUGCGUCAUUCCUAGACAAGCUGUAGCUUUGUUCUAAUAGUAAUAAUGGAGGAUCAGAGCCGACCUGAUUGAAAAAUUGAUGCAAUAAAACCAAGAAUCUCAUUUGCAGACCCAUCACUGUUGUGCUCUACAAAGGGACUGGCUUGUGUGACAACUCAAACAAAUAAUUUGUUACUGAUCCUUUCAACUGGCCACCAUCAGUAAUUAUGGUAUCUCAUGUUACCAGCAUAGGACUGGGGGCCUGGCAGUUCAGGGAGAUUAGUCGCCCCGAAGAAGAGGAGAUUUGUCGCCGGGCGACUAAUCUCUCCGAAUCUGACUGUGUGUCUCUGACCUUAAAGUUUAAAACAAAUGUUCCUGUCUCUGGUGUUUCAAUUUAGUAGCUCAGUGAUCCAGGUGCAGAAUCUGAACUGUUACAACUGACUACAUAAGUCCAAUAAAUUUCUCAACAGUAUCUGUGGAAUAUCAGCAACUAUUGUAUCAAUUUUAACAGCUGCCUUUAAUAAAACUCAGGAUUCUGCUCAACAGGGACAAAGAUAAGAAAUGUAUCAACUAAUGUAUCAAUUUAGAACAAUUUACCCCCCCCCCACUCCCAGAGCUACUUCUGAAAGACAUAUGAAGGUGAAUAAAUUACAUUUUAAGCUUCAAUAUUAGAAAAACGGUCACAAAUAGAAAAUACAAAGCAGUUUAAAAAAGUCUUGAUUUCUGGUGAAUUAUUUGAAACCAACUGAACUGGAAAACGUAUUUGAAGGUGAACAACCCUUGAUAUGCAAGCUUCCGCAAACUCAAUAAAAGGACCAAUGCCACAGGGAGCAACGGCAAACAAACAAACGAGUCCUGCCCAGAGGAAAGAAAAAAUCGGACAGAGGAUCCGAAGAAAGCGGUGCCAUAAAUACAAAAGUACCAUAGAACAAACUCCCCCCGAUCAGAAGCGAAGGUAAAAGAAAGAAAAUACCGCGUAUCCAUGGCAACACUUUCCCCACAGUGCGGCCAAAACAAAACGGAUAUGACGUCUAGAGGGAUUCUGAUAAUGAAGGAGAACACUCGCGAGAACGGAACCAUUGCUCUUCAAAAGGGAAACGCAAAAAUUCUUUUAAUUUUAUAGCCUCUGAGGAAGCUGAUACAGCGAAACGCGUUAGGCGAAUCGAAGGUCCAAGGAAGGGUCACAGUACUCCACAAGGGUGGACGGACUACAACACACACCAUCCAAAUGGACUUAUGCGAUGAUUUUAACAUGUGAAAUGUGAGUGUAAUUGCUUUUUAAUAAAUAGUCAUUUUUAAACGGUA